UAGGGAAUCUUCCACAAUGGACGCAAGUCUGAUGGAGCAACGCCGCGUGAGUGAAGAAGGUUUUCGGAUCGUAAAGCUCUGUUGUUGGUGAAGAAGGAUAGAGGUAGUAACUGGCCUUUAUUUGACGGUAAUCAACCAGAAAGUCACGGCUAACUACGUGCCAGCAGCCGCGGUAAUACGUAGGUGGCAAGCGUUGUCCGGAUUUAUUGGGCGUAAAGCGAGCGCAGGCGGAAGAAUAAGUCUGAUGUGAAAGCCCUCGGCUUAACCGAGGAACUGCAUCGGAAACUGUUUUUCUUGAGUGCAGAAGAGGAGAGUGGAAUUCCAUGUGUAGCGGUGGAAUGCGUAGAAAUAUGGAAGAACACCAGUGGCGAAGGCGACUCUCUGGUCUGCAACUGACGCUGAGGCUCGAAAGCAUGGGUAGCGAACAGG
rnacentral:rRNA from 1 species